rnacentral:rRNA from 1 species
GGACUACCGGGGUAUCUAAUCCUGUUCGCUCCCCACGCUUUCGUACCUCAGUGUCAGGAGUAGCCCAGCAAGCUGCCUUCGCCAUUGGUGUUCCUUGUAAUAUCUACGCAUUUCACUGCUACACUACAAAUUCCACUUGCCUCUGCUGUCCUCUAGCACGCCAGUAUGAGAUGCAACGAUAUGGUUGAGCCACACGAUUUAACAUCUCACUUAACGCGCCACCUACGCACGCUUUACGCCCAGUGAUUCCGGAUAACGCUUGGACCCUACGUAUUACCGCGGCUGCUGGCAC